rnacentral:rRNA from 1 species
CUGUUUACCAAAACAUCGCCUCUUGCCAUAUUUUAUAAGAGGUCCAGCCUGCCCAGUGACAAUUUAACGGCCGCGGUAUUCUGACCGCGCGAAGGUAGCAUAAUCACUUGUUCUUUAAAUGGGGACUAGUAUCAACGGCAUCACGAGGAUUUUUCUGUCUCCUUUUUCUAGUCAGUGAAACUGAUCUCCCCGUGAAGAAGCGGGGAUAGCGCUAUAAGACGAGAAGACCCCAUGGAGCUUUAAACCCAGUUACACCUCAAACUCCCCUUUCCCUCAAAGUUUUUAUGAUUUGUCUUCUGGUUUUAGGUUGGGGCGACCGCGGAGUAUAACUUAACCUCCACAACGCACGGAACUUUUUCUUAUCCUAGAGCCACACCUCAAAGAAUUAACACAUUGACGUUAAUGAUCCAAUUAUUUUGAUUAAUGAACCAAGUUACCCUGGGGAUAACAGCGCAAUCCAUUUCUAGAGCCCCUAUCGACAAAUGGGUUUACGACCUCGAUGUUGGAUCAGGGUGUCCCAGUGGUGCAGCCGCUACUAACGGUUUGUUUGUUCAACAAUUAAACCUACGUGAUCUGAU